GGGUCAGUAGGUUGGUCGUGCCACCGGUACGUACUGGUCUCACUGAUUCCUCCUUCCUGAAGAACCGUAAUGCCAUUAAUUUGGUGUUGCGGGGAGACAGGACUGUUACUUUGAAAAAAUUAGAGUGUUUAAAGCAAGCUAACGCUUGAAUACAUUAGCAUGGAAAAAUGAAAUAGGACGAUCGAUCCUAUUUUGUUGGUUUCUAGGAUUGACGUA
rnacentral:rRNA from 1 species